CUCCCCCCUCCCUCCGCCACUCCCCCCCCUUUCCAGUCGCUCUACGAGGCCCCCUCCGUAUUGGCUGCCGGGGCCCUGAUGUCAGGGACGUCCGCCGGAGCGGAUUGGCGGACGCGAGAGUUCGGGAAUCCUGCUCCGGAGCCCGGCUCUCCGGUUACUCCGGCAACGAGGCAAGCAACCCCUUGGAGGGCGGCGGAGCGCCGCUCGCGGCCGCGCCUGGGGCCCGCCUCCCUCCGACGACCGCCGCGCCUCCACUGCCGCAGCCCGGCCCGCGGCCUCCCUCCGUCCUUCCCCGGCUCUCCAGCUCCCGAGAAGCGGUCGCCCCCCCCCGCCGGGUCCCCAGGUCACCGCCACCAGCUGCGGCGGACUGGAAGCGAAUGCGCGUUGCUUAGUAACCUAGCCGCGUGCCCCCCUCCCCGCUAUUUACCCGGGCCCGCGGAGGCGGAGACUGAGUCCCAGCCCCCUCCCCAUCCUUCGCCCUUCGCCCUCCCGCCCACAAUUUCCUGUGAGGGGCCAAGAUGACAGGAAGUCGGCGGCGCACCUCGGCCCACCUCGGCCCACCUGUCCCUCGGGCCGGGCGGGGGCUGCUGCCGCUCUCCCGGCCACCGCGCCCACCCGGCUCCCGCGGUUCGGGCCGCGCGUCUCGCCCUCGCCAUCUCGUGGCUGCGCGGCGAAGGUCCGCACGGCGCUGGGCUCGGGGCCGGGCGAGGAGCGGCCAAGUGGGGUCGGACCGGGAAUGGAGCGGCUGGCGAGGGCCGGCGGACUGCACGGAGGCGGGGGUGCCGCGCGGAGGCUGGCUGCCGGCGCCAGGGGCAAGGCUGAGGCCACACACACACCUCACGGCCUGAAGUGGAUCGUGGGCAUGAGGCAGACAAGCUGCAUGGGUUCUGCCUCCACCAAGCAGGAGUUCUUCCUAUCCCAGCCGGCACCCUCCAGAUUUUCUUUGACAGGGCAGCCCUGGUGGCUCAGCGGUUUAGCGCUGCCUUCCACCCAGGG